rnacentral:rRNA from 1 species
AGAGUUUGAUCCUGGCUCAGGAUGAACGCUAGCGGCAGGCCUAAUACAUGCAAGUCGAACGGUAGGUUUUGUAGCAAUACGGAACUGAGAGUGACGUAAGGGUGCGUAACACGUAUGCAAUCUGCCCUCAACAGGAGUAUAGCUCGGGGAAACUCGGAUUAACCCUCCAUAAUAUUGCGAGGUGGCAUCACCGCGCAAUUAAAACGCAAGUGGUUGAGGAUGAGUAUGCGCAUGAUUAGUUAGUUGGUAGGGUAACGGCCUACCAAGACGAUGAUCAUUAGGGGAACUGAGAGGUUGAUCCCCCACACUGGCACUGAGAUACGGGCCAGACUCCUACGGGAGGCAGCAGUAGGGAAUAUUGGUCAAUGGGUGAGAGCCUGAACCAGCCAUGCCGCGUGCAGGAAGACGGCCUUCUGGGUUGUAAACUGCUUUUAUCUGGGGAUAAAAUGGUCUUGCGAGACCAAUUGAAGGUACCAGAUGAAUAAGCACCGGCUAACUACGUGCCAGCAGCCGCGGUAAUACGUAGGGUGCAAGCGUUGUCCGGAUUUAUUGGGUUUAAAGGGUGCGUAGGCGGCCUGUUAAGUCGGUGGUGAAAUCCAACAGCUCAACUGUUGAUGUGCCAAUGAUACUGACGGGCUUGAGUACAGACGAGGUAGGCGGAAUUGACAGUGUAGCGGUGAAAUGCAUAGAUAUAGGAAGGAAUACCAGUGGCGAAGGCGGCCUCCUGGAUCGAUACUGACGCUGAGGCGCGAAAGCGUGGGGAGCAAACAGGAUUAGAUACCCUGGUAGUCC